AGUUGUUCACUAUAGUUGUUGUUGUUGUUGUUGUUGCUGGUUGUUGCUGGUUAUUGCAUAUUGGUAUGCCGACAACAUCUAGGACCUGUGCUUUACUUUAUCCUGUUUAAAAGUCCUGCGAUAUUUGUGUAGUGUGACUUUGUUGGGUUUUUUUUUAGUACAAAAUUUGUGACGGACCAUUCUUAAGUCAUAAAAACGGAGCUCGCAGCGUAUGCCCAGGUGUAUCCGUUUGUGUGGUGUUUUCUAAAACACGGCGUUUGACUAUCUUAGAACUCGCCAAAAGUUGUAAGUUUCACUUCUGGAUGUUCGCCUGGCCCAACCACGAAAAGUUGGAACCCUGUUUUUUCGUUGAUAUAUGAGUUUUAGACUUUAGGGUUAGGUGGAUAUAGAUGGCGACUGCUGGGGAAAUCCCAAAGUGUUCCAUAAAGAAGCCAUUUUUCCCCCUGUGAUUAUACAUUCUUACCUGUGAUAUUUAAAAAGUCUGAACGAACAAUAUAACAGUGUGUAGUGCAUUCUUUACUAUUAAUUCUAGAAACUUGGAAGUGGAUUAUAUGGCAGAUGGAAUAAUUAAGUUUUUUUUAAAGUUUGGUAAGUUUUUAUGUUUUCUUUAUUUUGAAGAAGUAGCCUAAUCAACUAUAAUUUAUUCGUAGCAUGUUUGGAUAUAAUUGGAUUGAAAAAAUUGUAUAUAAAGAUACACUAGUGGGCAAUUGUUCUCAAGCAAUGUAGAUAUUAACAAGUGUUUUAAUUGUUAUGGGUUUGGUUA
rnacentral:sRNA from 1 species